UACGGGGGGAGCAAGCGUUGUUCGGAUUUACUGGGCGUAAAGGGCGCGUAGGCGGCGCAACAAGUCACUUGUGAAAUCUUCGGGCUUAACCCGGAGCGGCCAAGUGAUACUGUCGUGCUAGAGUGCGGAAGGGGCUACUGGAAUUCCCGGUGUAGCGGUGAAAUGCGUAGAUAUCGAGAGGAACACCUGCGGCGAAGGCGGGUAGCUGGGCCGACACUGACGCUGAGGCGCGAAAGCGUGGGUAGCAAACAGG
rnacentral:rRNA from 1 species